AUUUGUGAUGCCUUAGUCUAGGGUUUGCUGUUAUAUGUGCGUUAUGCUUUUGUGUGUAUGUGAUGAGUGAGAGUAUCUAGUUAGAACGCACAAGGGGUAAAGCUACGGGGUACAGAGGUACUUCCGAGGAUGAGCCGAGAAGGUGGAGCUACCACAGAUGGGGAGUCCUAUGUAUGCUUCAAUGCUCGAAUGCUGCUUGCUUUGUGCUUUGUGGAGUUAUCGAUGAUGGGAGUCAGCUACUAAGUGAGUAUGACGAUACUCAGGAGGUAGAGGGCUGGCAUCAUUAGGAACUCUUCAGCAGCUGAUAGCAAAGAAGUGGGAGGACAGCGGAAGGGACUAGGGAGUAAACCUAGCCAGAUGAGUGCGCUGGUAGAGUAGAGGAUUUCGCUGGAAAGCGAGCACGCGCGAUGAGAUGGGUGAAAGAGCAGGUUUAUCAGCUACUUAGGAACUCUGGGAUGGUCCGUGUGGAAAGUAUGGGUAGAUGUGGCAGGUAGUAUGGGCCCGUACUACUGAAAGCAGAGGACCCAUACUUGAUACAGGGGGCAUUCUGAAGGUCCUAAGGAACAGAUUGAGGGGUGAUGUUAUGGUUCGGAUACCAUACAUCGGAGCGGAUACAGAGUGAUGUUAUGGUCAGGGCACCAUACAUCGGAACAGAUUGAGAUAGAUGUUGUGGUUCGAGUGCUAUACAUUGGAGCAGAUUGAGGAAUGGUGCUAUGGUUCAGGUACCAUACACCGAAGCAUGUUGAGGAGGGAUGUCAUGGGAUGAGUACCAUGGUUCGUAGUGGAUGAUGCUUGUGGCUAUCUUGUUAUCCGGUUAUCGAUCGGACGAGCACGAGCGAGCGGGAUGCGAGGAUUCGCGAGAUCCGGCGUGAUGAGGUUGCUGCAUUGUUGCGGGCUGAGUCGCCAGAAUUGUUUGGGUCGAUCAGGACCACUAUGAUUGAAGUAGUUUGAUGAGCGAUAUGCGGCUUUCGCAGAGACGGCUGCCGCGGCGGUUACAGCGGCUGUAGCAACGGCAAAGAAAGGGGCUAGUCGGGGUUUUCAGUAUCGGGACUUCUAUUAUGCGAAGCCUCCCACAUUCGAUGGAGUUCAGGACUCGAUUGUUGCUAUGAGAUGGUUAUCAGACAUGGAGGGGUGUUUCUCCACGAGUUUAUGCCCUGCUGAUCAGAGGGUGGGGUGUGCUCUGAACCUGUUGAGGCUCGGGGCGAAGGAUUGGUGGAGAUUGACCACGAGGUCAUUUUCCGAUGCGCAGAGGGCUGCGGUUUCAUGGGAUCAAUUCAGAGGGAUGUUCAGUACUCGCUAUGUUCCGCGGGAUGAAAAGGAGAAAUUGGCUCGGAAGUUCCUUAAGCUGAAGCAGGAUUUGGAGUCGGUGACUGAGAGCACCGGGAUGUUUAUUGAGAGGGCGAUGUUUUGCCCUGAGUUCGCUUCGGAGCAGGCUCAGAUGUCCCGAUAUCCGAGUAUGCUCAAGGGGGGGUAUCAGACAGUUCGUGUCUGCGCAGAGGCGCGAGACCGUGUUGGUAUCGCAGGAGGCCGCCAUGUGGCGUGAGUUAGAGGUUGAGUUGCAGUUGCGUGAGAUGAGGCAGGCCCCGAUGCAGUCGCAGUCGGCGCCGAAACGGUCCAUGACCGUAGACGUUAGAAUGGGGGAUCGGAGCGGUCACACUUGUGGGAAGUGUGAGAGAGAUGGCACCGGAGCUUGUUGGCCCAGUGGUGCAUGCCGCAAGUGCGGAAAGGAGGGGCAUGGUGCACGGGAUUGUCGGCAGUCAGUGCCAAUUCGGGAUUUCAGGAUUUGUUAUCAGUGUCGGCAGGUUGGACAUUUGAGGGUCAACCGUCCACAGUUUCCUGCAGGACCGGUGCAGGCUCUAGCAUCGGCCACCUUGAGGAGUUCAGGAGGAGGACAGGAUGGAGCAGAGCCCAAGGGCUCAGGGUCGUGCUUAUCGGCUUGCGGCAGAGGGAGACGGAGCAGUGCCGGAGGCAGCUGCGGGUAUGAUGCUCUCUUGAUGUCUUGAGUAGCUUGCGUUGAUUGUGGCGUAUUGUUUGUGCUGGUGUCUGGUGUGGAUUUCGAUGCGGUAUUCGUUGUUUCGCGGGUUUGGCAUGGUUAUGGAUUGGUGCUUCAGGUUUUCGCUUGGCAUUCGUUGUUCCCUGAUGGUUUAGUAUGAUUAUAGUUUGGUGUUUUGGUACCGGUAGCCUUGUGCGGUUUUCGAUGCGAUAUUCAACCUUUGGCAGGUUGUGGGUUUGGUUAUGGGUUAUUGCUUGGGAAUUCCGUUGGUCAUCGUUCGUGAGGGUUGAUAGUGGAGAUGCGGCACUGGGUUGAAUGACGGGUAGCAUCUGCAGUUGUGGAGUGGAUAAUUGAAAGAUCGGAUUCUUUUGAGCGGAUUGAUCAGGGAGGAGAUGUGUUUUGCUGAGGGUUGCUUACGCUUGUGGGAAGCAGUCAGUGGGUAAAUGUUCUCUUUGUGCAGGAUGGUUCUGAAAGGUCGUUAAUGACGAUCGGUGGCAGUUAGUCAGUGCUUUAGUGGGGGAGAAUUGUAAAAUUCUCCGGGAGAUCGAUGAGUAUGUAAGGGUGCUUAGCUGUUGGGAUUCAGCAGUGUUUGUCAGCGCAAAGUAUAGGCCGACGAGAGCGAGUGUUGGGUAUGCGGGGCGAGAUACAGACCUAGGGCAUUUGAUUGUGGAGGCCUGAGAGGAGGUCGGGAUCAAGCUUGAGUAAGUAAUCGGAAUUUUGCGAUCAGAGUAUUGGUACGUUUGAGGUACGUGAUGGGUUGUACUGCAUUAAUCCCACGGGAUUAUGUUGUGCAUGUUUCUAGAGCUGGAACCGGAAGGUUCCCAGAGUUAGAACCUGAGGGUUCGCAGAGUUUGGGUGUACGGACCCACAGAGAUAUAGCCUCGAGUGGCUAGUAUGUGUUAUGAGAGUCGGUCCAGUCAUACUGGAGACUCUGUUGGUAUUGCUGGAUUAGUUUGAGAUUUGCGGAUCGCGUAUGUUGCAGUGUGAUUGCAUUGGAAGGUCUGGCCCCGGGUUAUUGAUCUUGUUUAGCGGAGGCAGUGAUUUUGAUGAGUGGAGAGAGUGCAUGGGAUUGAGAGCCCCUGCAAUGAGAACCAGAGUAUGUGAAUAGCAGUUACGCAAAAAGGGUGGUGUCGCUUGGGGCGAGCACCGUGGCACCGGUUGGAGUGGCAUUAUGUUCAAGAGAGUUCCGUGGAAAAGGAAAAGAGGAGGGUAUGUAACUCCGAAGGGGGUGCAAGUUCACGAAAGUGAAAGCUGCAGAGCAGAGUUAUGGUUAGAGUAUUUCGAGUAUGGUUUUGAGCAUCGUGUUCGCGGCAGUGGAGUAGGAACCCAUCCGGUUGGGAUGUCUGUUGAGGCUCAGAAGGGAUGCAUGGAGAGAGAAAAUUUUAAAUUCUCAGUGUGAAUCUGAUCAGAGUGUAGGGUGGAUGUAGUGGUUCAUCUUGGGAGAUGUUCGAGGAUAUCAUCAGUGUAUCGGGUCUUCCAACCUACGGGUGUUGGGGCUAGUUCAGCAUGUGUAUAUGAUGGCAAGAGGAGAAUUUGUGAGAGUUACUCUGGGAGUGAGAAUGGAUCUCUCAGUUGGUCUGGGAUGGACAAAGUGGGCUUUGGAUCGGGGAUCCGGUGGUUCAGGGCUUCCUAACCCUUAUUGGUCGAGUGAUUGUUGGGGUUUAAGAGCAGAGUUGCAUCUUGGGUGGUUCUCGGUUACAGAGAGAGAUGGACAGUACAGAGUUUGGGCUUCAGUCGACAGAGCAGACUCAGCAGGUUAAGGAGAGUUAGUGAUCGUUUAGAGUUAACAGGAAAGUUAUGCAGGCAGACGCCGUUACGAGUAUGUGAUUCAGGUCAGCGACUUCGUAUUUCUGACGGGGUGCUUCGAUUUAGGAAGAGGGGUAAAUGGGGGGCCCCGGUAUGUUGGGUCUUUUCGUGAAGGUGCGAAGGUAGGAAGGGUGGCCUAUCGUUUGGAGCUGUCAACGGAAUUGGGACGGAUCCAUGACACUGGUAUGUGUCGCAGUUGAAGAGGUGUAUAGCGGAUGAGUCAGCAGUGGUUCUACUAGAGAACGAUUAGGUGGAUGCGAGCCUGUGUUACGUCGAGAGGCCAGUGGCCGUCGGAGAUCGGAAGAUCAAGGUUCUGAGGAACAAGGAGGUACCUCUGGUAUUGGUUCAGUAGCGACCUCGGAAGAUAUCGGAAGUGUUUAGGGAAGCCGAAACGUGUGAUGCGGGAGCAGCAUCCAGAACUAUUUUCAGAGUGAGACUUCGAGGGCGAAGUCUAAUUCUAGUGGGGGAGAAUUGUAACAGCCCAAAAUCUCAAGUAUUGUUAAAUUGCAUUUUGGGGUGUUUUAAAGGGGAGACUCGGCGAGUUGGAGCCAGACUCGCCGAGUAGGGUCGCAGAUUUGGUCGCGGGUUCGCGACUGGACUCGACGAGUCCAGGUAUGGACUCGGCGAGUCGACGCUGUUCAGCAGAAACCCUAGCCGUUUCGUAUUGGGUCGUAUUUAAGGGUUGUAUGUCGUCAUUUCACGUCUUUUGGCCGAUUGUGGAGAACCCUAGACGACUGUGGCAUUUGGAGCAAAACUUGAAGGCCAUUAUUGACUUUGAAGGAAUUGUGGUGCAAGAAGAGGAAGGAUUUUGGCCAAAGGAAGAGCAAGGGGGUCGAGUUCUGAGGUUUGGGGACACAGAGAGUACGUUUUCAGGUUAUGUUUCGGAUCAUUCCUGUUAUUUUGAUGUGUACACGAAUUUAGGGUUUAUGAAACCCAUUUGGAGAUUUGAUGGAUUAUUAUGUUGUUAUACAAAGGUUUCUACCCUAGUAAUAGGAUGAUUAGAGGUCCAGAAGUCCCAUGAGUGUGUAUCUCGGGAAAAACGUAUCUCAGGAAGCAGUUGGAUCGACUGCAUGGCGUGGACUCGCCGAGUCGGAUGAUCAGACUCGGCGAGUAGCUUGAAGAUUCACUGGGACUCGCCGAGUUGUUCUUCAGACUCGGCGAGUGGAGUCGGGGUGGCCCCGCGAUUCUUCCAGGAGUGACUCGUCGAGUCAAAGAGGAUACUCGACGAGUAGAAGGGGAAUCUCAGAGGAUUGAAGGACGACCAGACUCGCCGAGUCGCCAGGGAACUCGCCGAGUCCAGUCGAGCUGACAAUGGACUGUUGACCAGAGUUGACUGGUGUGAUUUCUUAGGGUCAGUUAACGUGGAAGAUAGAAGUAUUAAAUAAGGGAUAUAUGAUGUUACAGGGAGCUUGUAGCUCGGAGGAUCAAGUGCAAGGGAUUUUAGGAGUUGCUAUCUUCUAGUGUCCGCGAGGUGAGUCUUCUCACUAUACCUCACCCGGAAGGGUUUGAUUGUGUGACCGGAAGGUCAAGUAUGUUAUGUGUUAUGUUUAUAUGCUAUAAAUGGAAAGUUAGCUGCUACGCGUGAUAUACAUGCUUAUAUAUGGGCCGGAAGGCAAGGUAUUAUGUGACAGAAAGGUCAGGUAUGAUAUAUGAUAUAUGUGCUUUAUGUGUUAGAGUAUUUGUAUUAUGUGUUAUAUAUGUGUAUGGGCCGGAAGGCAAUUAUCUUAUGGGCCGGAAGGCGAUAUUUAUUGUGGACCGAAAGGUCCGGGCCGGAAGGCAAUGUUAUGUGGACCGAAAGGUCCGGGCCGGAAGGCAAUGUUAUGUGGACCGAAAGGUCCGGGCCGGAAGGCAAUGUUAUGUGGACCGAAAGGUCCGGGCCGGAAGGCGUAUGUGCGUAAGGUAUAUUGGGGAACUCACUAAGCUUCGUGCUUACGUUGUUUAUGUUAUGUUGUUUCAGGUUCUUACAGUAACGCGGGAUGGCAACGGUUCGAUUGUACACACCGAAGAAAGAGUUGUGUUUUGGAGGAUCCUGGUCUUCUAUUAUAAUGAAAAUGAAACUAUGUUUUGUAAUUCGAAUGUGAAUAAGAUUUUAAACAAGUGUUUUUAAUAUUAAAUUGAUUAAUUAAAUGAAAAUUUUGUUUUUGGAAAUCAUGGUGUUACAAAUUGGUAUCAGAGCCUUGGUUUGAGGGAUUCGGACGCGCCUACGGGUAAAUCUGGACUCAAACUGAGGAAGUAAGAAAAAGUUUUCCAAAUAAAUGGUUUUCUAAAAGUGAAUAAGAGUUCAAAGAGAAAGCAAGAAAGAGCAGUGUGUACAAUCAGCCAGAGCCAAACGGUGAUUUCCCAAAAUACCCUUACUUUUGUAUUAUGAAAUAUCUAUUAUGCACUUUAUGAGACAUUAUUGCAUGCUAGAGACAGGCUAGGUAUUUCACAUCUUAGGACUAGAGUGGCCUGAUUUGUGAUGCCUUAGUCUAGGGUUUGCUGUUAUAUGUGCGUUAUGCUUUUGUGUGUAUGUGAUGAGUGAGAGUAUCUAGUUAGAACGCACAAGGGGUAAAGCUACGGGGUACAGAGGUACUUCCGAGGAUGAGCCGAGAAGGUGGAGCUACCACAGAUGGGGAGUCCUAUGUAUGCUUCAAUGCUCGAAUGCUGCUUGCUUUGUGCUUUGUGGAGUUAUCGAUGAUGGGAGUCAGCUACCAAGUGAGUAUGACGAUACUCAGGAGGUAGAGGGCUGGCAUCAGUAGGAACUCUUCAGCAGCUGAUAGCAAAGAAGUGGGAGGACGGCGGAAGGGACUAGGGAGUAAACCUAGCCAGAUGAGUGCGCUGGUAGAGUAGAGGAUUUCGUUGGAAAGCGAGCACGCGCGAUGAGAUGGGUGAAAGAGCAGGUUUAUCAGCUACUUAGGAACUUUGGGAUGGUCCGUGUGGAAAGUAUGGGUAGAUGUGGCAGGUAGUAUGGGCCCGUACUACUGAAAGCAGAGGACCCAUACUUGAUACAGGGGGCAUU
rnacentral:lncRNA from 1 species